UACAGAGGUCUCAAGCGUUGUUCGGAUUCAUUGGGCGUAAAGGGUGCGUAGGCGGCGCGGUAAGUCGGGUGUGAAAUUUCGAGGCUUAACUUCGAAACUGCAUUCGAUACUGCCGUGCUAGAGGACUGGAGAGGAGACUGGAAUUUACGGUGUAGCGGUGAAAUGCGUAGAUAUCGUAAGGAAGACCAGUGGCGAAGGCGGGUCUCUGGACAGUUUCCUGACGCUGAGGCACGAAGGCCAGGGGAGCAAACGGG
rnacentral:rRNA from 1 species